AUGCUUUUACUGCAUUUGCAGUGUGAUCAUUGUCACGCUGAACAAAAGAAGCGUUGCCAAUCAGAUGCUUUCAAGAAGGUUAAUUGUCAUCAUUACAGAAGGAUUCAGUGGAGCAUCUGAGAAAUUAAUGGAGUGAGCUGAGCAGACAAAAUGGACUGGAAAACUCUAAAUUUGUGGAGUCUUAAAAAAAGAAAAGAAGACAGAGCAGAAGAGCAACCAUCUCACCUCAGCAGGAUCUCUGAUUUAACUGGUCAGAGGGUCAGAGCUGUAGGAGCCAAAGGUCAGCAUACUGUGGGACUCAUACUGUGAGAGCUUCCAGGAUCAGAAUUGGGUGUUGGCGUUCUUCGCAAAUUUGAAGUUUGUCAGGAGAGGAAGGUACAAACAGCUGCUGCUGGAAGCUGUCCAGACAUCUCCAGAGAGACGACCUUCAGAGGGAGAGCUGGCCACAUUUCAAUCAGAGACAUCAGUGAAGUCAGAUAAGGUUGAAGACUGCGAUCCAAGCAAGAAAGAAAGAAAGAAACUCUGUAAUGUGUAACUUGGUUGCAUUAUAUGUAGCUAAAGAUACAGAUUUCAUUCACAGAAUAAAG